UUUAUAACGUUAUUGGGAGAGAAAAUACAAAGUGAUUGAGUGCAACUUACCUGUGGAUUAUGUAAGUACUCGACCAUGUGAAGAUCUAGAAGAAAACACUUCGGUAUAUGACUCCACCGGAAAUCCAGUAGCUGAUCCUAUUGAUGGAAUUAAUGAGGUGGAAGAUGCAAAACUCACACCAAGUGAAAAUGUGAAUGAAUUGUUGAUAUCUGAAAAUUCUACUGAAACUAAAAA